GUAUGCUUAAAUGUAAUAAACACAAACCUUAAACAUGAGAGGUAAUAAGGUUUGCAAUAUGGUAUAUACAUAGGUAAAAAUCCCAAAGAAAAAAUUGAAACUUCACAAAAUUUAGCUGGGCCCUUUGGUCAUGAUCCAAACAAAUUGAAUAAACAUACCAAAAAUGGAUAAUCACAACAUUAACGAAGAACACCGUUCGAGCUCAUUUGAGUAAAGCAAGCAGCAACAUUCUAAUUUCAAUUUAACCUUAUCCACAUUAUGAACACAUGGCAAGCUUUGUUUGUAACCCAUCAAUCAACAUUGAGACCCAGACCAUCCACUUACUACUCAACAUAUAUUAAUCCAAAAAUAAAAUGCUAAGCAAAACUUUUGUAAGGAACAGCAAAUCGACAAAAUUUUCGUGAUUAAAUCAUAAGUUUGAAAAUCAGUAUCAACGUGAACAAAGUCGAAUGAAAGUUUUUAAAAAAAAAUAAUUCUCCAC
rnacentral:lncRNA from 1 species